UCUGUAAGGGUGCAUACGUUUUUAUUUU
rnacentral:piRNA from 1 species